ensembl:lncRNA
AUACGCACACACACACAGCUAAACCUUCCCUCGCAGGAGGGCGGUGGUUUUUAAUCAUGCCCUAAAAAUUCCUUCAGAGCAGGGGGUCUCCCUCCGCGAGGGGCAGUCGGCGGAGUGCGUGCCUUAUGAAUAAACCGGCUAUUAGGCUGAUGCUUCCAGUAACACUACCCAGCAGCAAGGACAUGUCGUAUAUCUUCUGCAAGACAAAAUACUGCUAGUGCCAUGGUAGAGGAGGAAAUCACUGCAAUACUUGAUGGAUGGAGCCAGCAUAAAGCCCUGGGAAGAGCAGAAUCCAAGUACUCUGGGAAGUGCGGAGUCGGGAUUGACGCUGGGUGCUUGUGUGACCUGCAAACAGUGUGAAGGAUGGUCCCCUCACCUACAGAGGGGUGACAGCCCUUCAGGGAGUGGCACAGCAUGUGGCACAUGAGCAGUGAGUGAUCUUUGUGGAGGGAGCGAUGUCAACAGCGGCAGCAUUGGAAAGACUCAUCAGGACAAAGGGAAAACUUCACCCAAAAGGAAAGAUAGAGACAUGUGAAUGCUUACAGGGAUGGAAAGCAGCAGUGGCCUGCUGGUGGUUAAUGCAGGGUGGUCUCCAAUAAAAACCCUGUCUCUUGUCACCUCCUCCCUCCUGAAAGCAUCCCGUGCUGCUCCCAGUGUGUUCCGAGUGCCUCCUCCAAGCCCUUGCCUGAUGUUUGCUGAAGCCACUGGAAACAUUCCUGUUAACAUCGAGUCUUUGCCUUCCCCAGGAAAGGGAAAGGAUUUCCCUGAAGUAAAGGAAGAGAGGAAGACUCAGAGGAGAAGCAGAUGGAUGGCUGGCAGGGAGAGACACAGAGUGUGGAAUGCCUGGAGGUGGUGUCUACACAACGUUUUCUGGGCAUUGUAAUAAGUAAGCUUCAGUCCUUCAGUGUCAGAAAUGCAAGCGGUUCUCUGGAACCUGUGUGAGUUUCCUUCAUCUUUCCCUGAUUUUUGAGCCAAGCUUUUCUCUCACGUUCUUCCAUGUAAUCAUUUAAAGUCUUGCUGAGUGAAAGCUUGGGUAUCACGACUGCUGAAAGGAUGCCCUCAUGUGCUACCUCUUCUGGUUUAAAUGUUGCCAGAGAAGUAAGGAGGAAUUCAGCAGAACUGCUACCUCGGACUUCCAGGAGGCAGACCUUGGCCUCUUUAGGAGCCUGGCUGACAGAGUCCCUUGGGAGGCAGUCCUGGAGGGCAAAGGAGUCGACGAAGGCUGGACAUUCUUCAAGAAGGAAAUCUUCAAGGCACAGGAGCAGCCCAUCCCCAUGUGCUGCAAGAUGCGCUGGCAGGGAUGAAGACUGGCCUGGAUGAACAGAGCUUUGGCUGGAAGGAGUUUAUGAGUUAUGGAAGGAGGUGCAGACUGCUCAGGAGGACUACAAGGACAUCAUGAGGGCCGUACAGAGAGUCUGUUGAACUACAGGCCUGUCAUCCUGAUCUCAGUGCUGUGGGAGGUUAUGGGGCAGAUCAUCUUGAGUGCCACCACACAGCAUGUACAGGACACCCAAGUGAUCAGGCCCAGUCAGCAAGGGUUUAUGAAAGACAGGUCCUGUUUGACUAACCUGAGCUCCUUCUAUGACAAGGUGACCCACUUAAUGGAUGAGGAAAAGUCUCUGGAUGCUGUCUGCCUAGAUUUCAGCAAAGGCUUUGACACCAUUUCCCACAGCAUUCUCCUGGAGUAACUGGCUGCU